CACGUAGGGUGCAAGCGUUGUCCGGAAUCAUUGGGCGUAAAGAGCUCGUAGGCGGCUUAGUAAGUCGGGUGUGAAAACCCCAGCUCAACCUGGGGACGCCACCCGAUACUGCUAUAGCUAGAGUCCAGUAGGGGAGUGUGGAAUUCCCAGUGUAGCGGUGAAAUGCGCAGAUAUUGGGAGGAACACCAGCGGCGAAGGCGGCACUCUGGGCUGGUACUGACGCUGAGGAGCGAAAGCGUGGGGAGCAAACAGGG
rnacentral:rRNA from 1 species